UACGGAGGGUGCAAGCGUUAUCCGGAUUCACUGGGUUUAAAGGGUGCGUAGGUGGGCAAGUAAGUCAGUGGUGAAAUCUCCGGGCUUAACCCGGAAACUGCCAUUGAUACUAUUUGUCUUGAAUACUGUGGAGGUCAGCGGAAUAUGUCAUGUAGCGGUGAAAUGCUUAGAUAUGACAUAGAACACCAAUUGCGAAGGCG
rnacentral:rRNA from 1 species